CGAAUUAUGCCGACUUAGCUCAGUGGUAGAGCGCGUGGCUUUUAACCACGUGGUCGUGGGUUCGAUCCCCACAGUCGGCGAU
rnacentral:tRNA from 1 species